UCUCUCUCUCUCUCUCUUUCUCCUCUGCAACUCCGGCCAUCUCUCGAGUCCGACCACCUGGAAGCGAACCGCGAUCACCGUUGGCUUCCUCUCCUCCUCCUGGACACGCCUGCGGUGGUAGCUCGCCGAGUCUUGGCCGGAAAACGAAGAACCAAGCCGUGGAAGUUCACUGUAGCAGAUUGAGGUCAACGCUGGUUUUUCCCGAUUCCGGCCACCAUAGACGACAAAUAUUGGUCCUUUGGAAGAUCCUUGAGACGUAGAUGAUGCUCUCCAAGUAUUUUGUAGCGAUUUGAAGCGUGGAGGAAGAAAGUAUAAUUGGAAAAUUUCACUGUACUUCGGAUUGCUUAAUUGUUCGGCCACUUAGAGGGUGACGUACCGAAUUACUGCUCGACGAGGGAAACCGUUUGCAUGGUCGCCUAAACAAUACUUUUGCAGGCCAGAUUAGCUUGAGGUCGAGCGUACAUGAGGUUGAGGCAUAGCUAUCAUAGCUUCCGCAUUAUAAAAAGUAUCGAUCCUUUAUCUGAUAUUUCUUCCUUAACCGGAUGGACUUUGGUGUAACCUACACACAUACACAAGACAAUCAAAAAUUCAUCACAGAGCAAUGAUUUCGUAUUGGAAUUCUCUGAAAUCCAGGAAAAACCACCUUUCAAGAGAUUCAGGACCACCUUACUAACACAUAAUCAUGAGCAGAAAGAUCAUUAGCAUCGGAACCAUACCUCAAUGAGCUCAUCCGAGGCUACAUACCCUAUGGCUUCUUCAAGAGUCAUCUGCACCCAAAGGCAU